UACGGGGGGGGUAAGCGUUGUUCGGAAUCACUGGGCGUAAAGCGCACGUAGGCGGAUGUGUCAGUCAGGGGUGAAAUCCCGGAGCUCAACUUCGGAACUGCCCUUGAUACAGCACGUCUUGAGUCCGGAAGAGGUGGGUGGAAUUCCUAGUGUAGAGGUGAAAUUCGUAGAUAUUAGGAAGAACACCGGUGGCGAAGGCGGCCCACUGGUCCGGUACUGACGCUGAGGUGCGAAAGCGUGGGGAGCAAACAGG
rnacentral:rRNA from 1 species